rnacentral:sRNA from 1 species
UGACAGUUGGCAGAGAUGCUUGAUGGACAACAUGCAGAAUCGUACUCAGAUAAAAGUCCAAUUUAUUGAUAUUCCAGGGCAUCCAUAUAAUUUGGUGUUGCUUCCAAGAGCAUUUUCCAGAUUGAGAAUGUCCAUUUUUAGAGUUUCUGUGGCUUACCCGGCCAGUUGACCGGUAGAGGACCUCCCCACUCUUCUGUGAAAUACUAUCAGCGAGCAGAUCGAGGGCCAGGCUCCAUAAGCAGAUGUUCUUGCUAUCAGGAUGAAUGAACUGAUACAUCACAUUUACUGGACAUGAUGCCAAUCAGUGGCGUCAUUAUUAGCUUUAUGCUUUUGGAAAAGCCAUUUCUUUGAUCAUCACAAAUUUUCCUUCCUGAUAGAGAAUGCUCCUCUGCUGAUGCGUUUUUCUUGGAAACCAACAUUGGACCGUGAACAAGAGCGUCAGUAAGACCUUCCCAAGCAACCUGCACAUAAGGCACAUAAAAAGGUUACAUAAGCAACAAUAAGUAAAUGAGGUUAACACCUAGUAAGUGUUUUGUGCAUUGGUAGAGUGAAGGGGGAAGCAUGGAGAGGGAGAGACCUGAUUGUGUGUUUGGUAGACGGA